AAAUGCGCACUGCCUUUGUUAUGUACCUACUUUUGAUGUACACUGUUCGUUUUAAUAAACUUGAAAUAAAUCAAGCUACAUAUGGUUAUUGAAUAAAUCAAAUUGACACCUUAAAAAAUUGUCUCGGAUAAAAAUUCUACGUGAAAAAUUUAAUUAUUUUUUCUUCUAAAUUCUUGGGGUUGCAAUGGAAAAAACAAAGGAAACAACGUACGAAUGUGCAUUUCGACCAAGAUGUUCUUGUACAUGUCAUAAUAGAAAACUGGGUUCCAAAUAUUCGACCGCUUCACGCGACACGAACCAGGUUCGCCUUCUAUUAUUUGAUCAGGACUUAGAAAAACAGAAAGUCAAGAAGAAGCGCAGAAGCUCAAGCUGCCAAACUGGAGAUGAUUUAGAAAUCGAGCCGUAUAACCGGUACAGGAAAGAAGUUGCACUGUCCAAUGCCCCCAGUUGUUAUUCCCGUCAGGCAUACUCUUCUCCACCACCAAAUUAUCUGCCUGUCAUGUUUAUUGAACAAUCUCCAAUACCUGGCGUAUAUACUGGUUCCCCAGGCCUUCAAGUGCCUAGUGCCGGAUUUAAUAUAACUCCGUCAAUGUAUCAAUCAAAUGGACCCUUCGGACUCUGUCCGGCAGCCUCUAAUAUGUCUCAUUUUGCUAAUAAUAAUUGGCCGCAGCCAAGCCAAGACACAAGACCGAUGAAUCGAAGUAUUUGUCCGCAUGGUAAAGUGCAGGAAAAUACGAACGUACCUGGGGUACCAUCGCGAUUACCAAUGCGAUUCAUUCAAUCGCAAUUACUAGGUAUCCCCAAUGCGUAGAAUUAACAAUGUCUUUGCGGCAAUGCGUUUAUGAUAAGAUCGAAAAAAGGAUUAUUCUUUAAAGCAUGCAGAAGAAAAUAAAAUUUGACAACAUUUUGUCUUAGAGGGAUGAGGAAACGUUAGUUUCAAUGUUUAUAAUUUGAACUUGUCUCUGUGGAUGUGUUCGUUUGGAUUUAUCUAAAUUUGUAGAAAUGAAAACGUUUUGUGACGUUUAGUGAAAAAAAUACAUUACACAAUGGAAGGUAACUUUAUAAAAUAUUUAUAUACCUUAAAAUAACAAAAUUAUAACAUUGUCACUUCUUUUUAGCCUAAGUAUCUUGAUAGCUACAAAGGUAAAGUCACCAAUAAAGAAAGAAAGUAUGAUACAAUUUUAUGCAAGUCAUAAGGUGUUAAUCAGUAAUACAAUUCUUAAGAAAAUAUACAAAUAAGAACAGCA